rnacentral:lncRNA from 1 species
CUCGAUCUCUCCUUGUAGCUGAAAAUGACUUUGAACUCGAGACCCUUCUGCCUGCGAUUCCCCAGUGUUGGGACAACUAGCACAGCGGCUUCCCCGAUCCCCACCCCCGGCGGCCUCCACUUCCCCCGCCACCCGCCGCACGCCCGGCCCUAGAACGAGCACCAGGUGGGCCGGCACGAGAACGAGCACCAGGUGGGCCGGCACGAGGGCGAGCACCAGGUGGGAUGGCACGAGAACGAACACCAAGUGAGCCGGCCUGGAGCCCUGCCCCUGAGCCCCCGCCCGAUGAGGUCAGCCAUCUGGACGCGGAGGGGGGGGGAAUUGAGUCUGUUGUACCAGACACCAGACCUUGAGAAUAUGCUGAUCUGGAAUGGCUCUGUGUCUCAUUUGAACCAUCCAAUAGAAAUGAUUCUGUAUUUCGCCUCAUUUGAAAGACUCUGUGUUUCACCUCAUUUGAAUAACUCUGUACUUCGCCUCAUUUGAAUAACCCUGUAUAGCGCCUCAUUUACAUUGACCAAUGGGAAUAGCUCUGUACAAUGCCUCAUUAGAAUUAUCCAAUAGAAUCCCUGCUUCUAGCUUGUGCCUUUUUCCCUAUAUAAGGACCCCUUUCCCUUGGCUCGGGGCGCUUGGCCUCACAGAAGCUAAGUCGCCCGGGUACCCGUAUUUUCAAUAAAGCCUCUUGCUUUUGCAUCCAA